AUUGAACGCUGGCGGCAGGCCUAACACAUGCAAGUCGAGCGGAUGAAGGGAGCUUGCUCCUGGAUUCAGCGGCGGACGGGUGAGUAAUGCCUAGGAAUCUGCCUGGUAGUGGGGGAUAACGUCCGGAAACGGGCGCUAAUACCGCAUACGUCCUGAGGGAGAAAGUGGGGGAUCUUCGGACCUCACGCUAUCAGAUGAGCCUAGGUCGGAUUAGCUAGUUGGUGGGGUAAAGGCCUACCAAGGCGACGAUCCGUAACUGGUCUGAGAGGAUGAUCAGUCACACUGGAACUGAGACACGGUCCAGACUCCUACGGGAGGCAGCAGUGGGGAAUAUUGGACAAUGGGCGAAAGCCUGAUCCAGCCAUGCCGCGUGUGUGAAGAAGGUCUUCGGAUUGUAAAGCACUUUAAGUUGGGAGGAAGGGCAGUAAGUUAAUACCUUGCUGUAUGGACGUUACCAACAGAAUAAGCACCGGCGAACUGCGU
rnacentral:rRNA from 1 species